rnacentral:tRNA from 1 species
ACUGAAGGAGCAAAGGGUUUUUGUUUGGCUGCUAAUCAAAAGGUUGAUGGUUUGAACCCAUCCAGCAGUG